rnacentral:lncRNA from 1 species
AGGCGUAGAUGCUUCAACUUCUCUGAAGACAAAAUCUCCUACUUCGAAUCUGCGAAGCCUUACCCCCUUAUUAUAAUACUUGGCUACUCUGCGUUGAUAGGCUGCCAAUUUGAUUAAGGUUGUUUCUCUGACUUCUUCAAGCAAAUCAAGAUUGGCCUUAAGCCCUUCUUCAUUGUAGAUCUCUCUGAAUUGACUAACUCGAAGACUUGGAGAUCCAAUUUCAACUGGGACUAAGGCAUCAGUGCCAUAGGCCAAUCUGAAAGGUGAAUCCCCCGUUGUAGUCCUCGGAGUAGUUCGAUAAGCCCAUAGCACACUAAGUAGCUCUUCUGGCCAUCUGCCCUUAGCUUCGUCCAAUCUGCGCUUGAUCCCAUUCAGCAGCGUUCUAUUGGUCACUUCAACCUGUCCGUUUG